GACGAACGCUGGCGGCGUGCUUAACACAUGCAAGUCGAACGGAAAGGCCCUGCUUUUGUGGGGUGCUCGAGUGGCGAACGGGUGAGUAACACGUGAGUAACCUGCCCUUGACUUUGGGAUAACUUCAGGAAACUGGGGCUAAUACCGGAUAGGAGCUCCUGCUGCAUGGUGGGGGUUGGAAAGUUUCGGCGGUUGGGGAUGGACUCGCGGCUUAUCAGCUUGUUGGUGGGAUAGUGGCUUACCAAGGCUUUGACGGGUAGCCGGCCUGAGAGGGUGACCGGCCACAUUGGGACUGAGAUACGGACCAGACUCCUACGGGAGGCAGCAGUGGGGAAUAUUGCACAAUGGGCGGAAGCCUGAUGCAGCAACGCCGCGUGCGGGAUGACGGCCUUCGGGUUGUAAACCGAUUUCGCCUGUGACGAAGCGUGAGUGACGGUAAUGGGUAAAGAAGCACCGGCUAACUACGUG
rnacentral:rRNA from 1 species